AGAACGAACGCUGGCGGCAGGCUUAACACAUGCAAGUCGAACGCUCCGCAAGGAGAGUGGCAGACGGGUGAGUAACGCGUGGGAAUCUACCUAGUUCUACGGAACAACAGAGGGAAACUUCUGCUAAUACCGUAUACGCCCUAAGGGGGAAAGAUUUAUCGGAAUUAGAUGAGCCCGCGUAAGAUUAGCUAGUUGGUGGGGUAAUGGCCUACCAAGGCGACGAUCUUUAGCUGGUCUGAGAGGAUGAUCAGCCACACUGGGACUGAGACACGGCCCAGACUCCGUACGGGAGGCAGCAGUGGGGAAUAGUUGGACAAGUGGGGCGCGAAGCCCUGAUCCAGCCAUGCCGCGUGAGUGAUGAAGGCCUUAGGGUGUAAGCUCUUUCAGGUAGGAAGAUAAUGACGUACCUACAAGAACGACGCCCGCUAACGUUCGA
rnacentral:rRNA from 1 species